GACGAACCGUGCAAACGUUGUUCGGAAUCACUGGGCUUAAAGGGCGCGUAGGCGGGCUGUCAAGUCUGGGGUGAAAUCUUUCGGCUUAACCGGAAAAUUGCCCUGGAUACUGGCAGUCUGGAGGGAGGUAGGGGCAUGUGGAACUUCCGGUGGAGCGGUGAAAUGCGUUGAUAUCGGAAGGAACGCCGGUGGCGAAAGCGACGUGCUGGACCUCUUCUGACGCUGAGGCGCGAAAGCUAGGGGAGCGAACGGG
rnacentral:rRNA from 1 species